rnacentral:rRNA from 1 species
GGUGACUGCGUACCUUUUGUAUAAUGGGUCAGCGACUUAUUUUCAGUGGCGAGCUUAACCGAAUAGGGGAGGCGUAGCGAAAGCGAGUCUUAAUAGGGCGUUUAGUCGCUGGGAAUAGACCCGAAACCGGGCGAUCUAUCCAUGAGCAGGUUGAAGGUUAGGUAACACUGACUGGAGGACCGAACCCACUUCCGUUGAAAAGGCAGGGGAUGACUUGUGGAUCGGAGUGAAAGGCUAAUCAAGCUCGGAGAUAGCUGGUUCUCCUCGAAAGCUAUUUAGGUAGCGCCUCAUGUAUCACUCUGGGGGGUAGAGCACUGUUUCGGCUAGGGGGUCAUCCCGACUUACCAAACCGAUGCAAACUCCGAAUACCCAGAAGUGCCGAGCAUGGGAGACACACGGCGGGUGCUAACGUCCGUCGUGAAAAGGGAAACAACCCAGACCGUCAGCUAAGGUCCCAAAGUCCUGGUUAAGUGGUAAACGAUGUGGGAAGGCUUAGACAGCUAGGAGGUUGGCUUAGAAGCAGCCACCCUUUAAAGAAAGCGUAAUAGCUCACUAGUCGAGUCGGCCUGCGCGGAAGAUGUAACGGGGCUCAAACCAGGCACCGAAGCUACGGGUAUCACCUUUGGUGAUGCGGUAGAGGAGCGUUCUGUAAGCCUGUGAAGGUGAGUUGAGAAGCUUGCUGGAGGUAUCAGAAGUGCGAAUGCUGACAUGAGUAACGACAAUGCGAGUGAAAAACUCGCACGCCGAAAGACCAAGGGUUCCUGCGCAACGUUAAUCGACGCAGGGUGAGUCGGUCCCUAAGGCGAGGCUGAAAGGCGUAGUCGAUGGGAAACGGGUUAAUAUUCCCGUACUUCUAGUUACUGCGAUGGGGGGACGGAGAAGGCUAGGCCAGCUUGGCGUUGGUUGUCCAAGUUUAAGGUGGUAGGCUGACUGUUUAGGUAAAUCCGGACGGUCAAGGCCGAGAGCUGAUGACGAUCCUUCUUUUAGAAGGAGAAGUGGUUGAUGCCAUGCUUCCAGGAAAAGCCUCUAAGCUUCAGGUAACUAGGAACCGUACCCCAAACCGACACAGGUGGUCGGGUAGAGAAUACCAAGGCGCUUGAGAGAACUCGGGUGAAGGAACUAGGCAAAAUGGCACCGUAACUUCGGGAGAAGGUGCGCCGGUGAGGGUGAAGGGUUUACCCCGUAAGCUCAUGCCGGUCGAAGAUACCAGGCCGCUGCGACUGUUUAUUAAAAACACAGCACUCUGCAAACACGAAAGUGGACGUAUAGGGUGUGACGCCUGCCCGGUGCCGGAAGGUUAAUUGAUGGGGUUAGCGCAAGCGAAGCUCUUGAUCGAAGCCCCGGUAAACGGCGGCCGUAACUAUAACGGUCCUAAGGUAGCGAAAUUCCUUGUCGGGUAAGUUCCGACCUGCACGAAUGGCGUAACGAUGGCGGCGCUGUCUCCACCCGAGACUCAGUGAAAUUGAAAUCGCUGUGAAGAUGCAGUGUAUCCGCGGCUAGACGGAAAGACCCCGUGAACCUUUACUGUAGCUUUGCACUGGACUUUGAGCUUGCUUGUGUAGGAUAGGUGGGAGGCUUUGAAGCGUGGACGCCAGUCUGCGUGGAGCCAUCCUUGAAAUACCACCCUGGCAAUCUUGAGGUUCUAACUCUGGUCCGU